GACGAACGCUGGCGGCGUGCUUAACACAUGCAAGUCGAACGAAGAGCGAUGGAAGCUUGCUUCUAUCAAUCUUAGUGGCGAACGGGUGAGUAACGCGUAAUCAACCUGCCCUUCAGAGGGGGACAACAGUUGGAAACGACUGCUAAUACCGCAUACGAUCUAGUCUUGGCAUCGAGGAUAGAUGAAAGGUGGCCUCUACAUGUAAGCUAUCACUGAAGGAGGGGAUUGCGUCUGAUUAGCUAGUUGGAGGGGUAACGGCCCACCAAGGCGAUGAUCAGUAGCCGGUCUGAGAGGAUGAACGGCCACAUUGGGACUGAGACACGGCCCAGACUCCUACGGGAGGCAGCAGUGGGGAAUCUUCCGCAAUGGACGAAAGUCUGACGGAGCAACGCCGCGUGAGUGAUGACGGCCUUCGGGUUGUAAAGCUCUGUUAAUCGGGACGAAAGGCCUUCUUGCGA
rnacentral:rRNA from 1 species